rnacentral:rRNA from 1 species
UACGGAGGGGGUUAGCGUUGUUCGGAAUUACUGGGCGUAAAGCGCACGUAGGCGGAUUGGAAAGUUGGGGGUGAAAUCCCAGGGCUCAACCCUGGAACUGCCUCCAAAACUAACAGUCUAGAGUUCGAGAGAGGUGAGUGGAAUUCCAAGUGUAGAGGUGAAAUUCGUAGAUAUUUGGAGGAACACCAGUGGCGAAGGCGGCUCACUGGCUCGAUACUGACGCUGAGGUGCGAAAGCGUGGGGAGCAAACAGGAUUAGAUACCCUAGUAGUCC